rnacentral:rRNA from 1 species
UACAGAGGUCCCAAGCGUUGUUCGGAUUCACUGGGCGUAAAGGGUGCGUAGGCGGUCGGGUAAGUCUGAUGUGAAAUCUCACAGCUUAACUGUGAAACUGCAUUGGAUACUAUCCGGCUCGAGGAAUGGAGGGGAGACUGGAAUACUUGGUGUAGCAGUGAAAUGCGUAGAGAUCAUGAGGAAGACCAGUGGCGAAGGCGGGUCUCUGGACAGUUCCUGACACUGAGGCACGAAGGCCAGGGGAGCAAACGGG